AGUGCUCAGGAGAAAGAAUAAGUCACCAUGCAAUCUAUGGGCACAUCGGGUGUAAGGAAGAGUGGGAGGUGCUUCAAGAUGGAGGAGGAGUAAGACGUGGAGAUCACCUUCCUCCCCACAAAUACAUCAAAAAUACAUCUACAAGUGGAACAACUCCUACAGAACACCUGCUGAACGCUUGCAGAGGACCUCAGACUUCCCAAAAGGCAAGAAACUCCCCACGUACCUGGCCGUGUGGCUGACAGGGUCGUGGUGCUCUGGCCUGUUGUCAGGCCUGAGCCUCUGAGGUGGGAGAGCCGAGUUCAGGACAUUGGAUGACCAGAGACCUCCCGGGCCCAUGUAAUAUCAAUCAGGAGGAGCUCUCCCAGAGAUCUCCAUCUCAACACUAAGACCCAGCUCCACUCAAUGGCCAGCAAGCUCUAGUGCUGGACACCCCAUGUCAAACAACUAGCAAGACAGGAACACAACUCCACC